AAUGAACGUUGGCGGCGUGGAUUAGGCAUGCAAGUCGUGCGAGAAGUCUUUUGCUUGCAUUAGACGGAAAGCGGCGAAAGGGAGAGUAACGCGUGGGUAACUACCUCUAUGUUCGGGAGAGCUGCGGGAAACAGUGGGUAAUACCGAAUAACAUCUCCGGAUAAAAGGUGUGAUUCCGCCUGGAGACGGGCCCGCGUCCUGUUAGCUUGUUGGUGGGGUAAUGGCUUACCAAGGCAAUGAUGGGUAUCGGGCGUGAGAGCGUGACCCGACUCACUGGGACUGAAACACUGCCCAGACACCUACGGGUGGCUGCAGCCGAGAAUCUUCGGCAAUGGGCGCAAGCCUGACCGAGCGACGCCGCGUGCGGGAUGAAGGCCCUCGGGUUGUAAACCGCUGUCAGUUGGGAGGAAAUCACAUGGGGUUCUCUCCAUGUGUUGACCUAUCUUCAGAGGAAGGACGGGCUAAGUUCGUGCCAGCCGCCGCGGUAAAAC
rnacentral:rRNA from 1 species